rnacentral:rRNA from 1 species
CCGGAGCGCGACGCUCUCCCCAAGGACGAAGCCAUGCAUGCCCGCUCACCCGGGACGCGGCGGACGGCUCAGGACAACGGUUGCACCCCCCGCGGCGGUCCCUGCUAGCCGGACACCGCUGGCAACCCGGCGCCAAGACGUGCGCGCAAGGGCGGGCGCCCGCGGGCGAGCAGCGUGACGCAGCGACGGCCCGCCCGGGCUUCCGGGGCAUCACCCGGUCGGCGCGGUCGCGGCGCGCCGAGGGCCCGACGCCUGGCGGAGA